rnacentral:rRNA from 1 species
UUUUCGGAGAGUUUGAUCCUGGCUCAGGACGAACGCUGGCGGCGUGCCUAAUACAUGCAAGUCGAGCGAACAGAAGGGAGCUUGCUCCCGGAUGUUAGCGGCGGACGGGUGAGUAACACGUGGGUAACCUGCCUGUAAGACUGGGAUAACUCCGGGAAACCGGAGCUAAUACCGGAUAGUUCCUUGAACCGCAUGGUUCAAGGAUGAAAGACGGUUUCGGCUGUCACUUACAGAUGGACCCGCGGCGCAUUAGCUAGUUGGUGGGGUAAUGGCUCACCAAGGCGACGAUGCGUAGCCGACCUGAGAGGGUGAUCGGCCACACUGGGACUGAGACACGGCCCAGACUCCUACGG